GAUGAACGCUGGCGGCGUGCUUAACACAUGCAAGUCGAACGGAAAGGCUCCUGCUUUCAGGGGUACUCGAGUGGCGAACGGGUGAGUAACACGUGGGUGAUCUGCCCUGCACUUCGGGAUAAGCCUGGGAAGCUGGGGCUAAUACCGGAUAGGACCAUCUUUUGCAUGCCAUUGUGGAAAGUUUUUCGGUGUGGGAUGAGCUCGCGGCCUAUCAGCUUGUUGGUGGGGUAGUGGCCUACCAAGGCGUCGACGGGUAGCCGGCCUGAGAGGGUGUACGGCCACAUUGGGACUGAGAUACGGCCCAGACUCCUACGGGAGGCAGCAGUGGGGAAUAUUGCACAAUGGGCGCAAGCCUGAUGCAGCGACGCCGCGUGGGGGAUGACGGCCUUCGGGUUGUAAACUCCUUUCGCUAGGGACGAAGCGCAAGUGACGGUAACUGGAGAAGAAGCACUGGCUAACUACGUG
rnacentral:rRNA from 1 species